rnacentral:rRNA from 1 species
UACAGAGGGUGCAAGCGUUGUUCGGAAUUAUUGGGCGUAAAGGGCGCGUAGGCGGUGCGGUAAGUCUGUAGUGAAAUCUCUGGGCUCAACUCAGAGUCUGCUGCAGAAACUGCCGUGCUUGAGUGUGGGAGAGGUGAGUGGAAUUCCCGGUGUAGCGGUGAAAUUCGUAGAUAUCGAGAGGAACACCGGUGGCGAAGGCGGCCUUCUGGACAGUGACUGAC